GACGAACGCUGGCGGCGUGCCUAACACAUGCAAGUCGAACGGGACCAGGGGCAACUCUGGUUCAGUGGCGGACGGGUGCGUAACACGUGAGGAACAUGACCUUCGGCGGGGGAGUAGCCGGCCCAACGGCCGGGUAAGUACCGCGUACGACCACAUGGGGACGAUCCCUCGAGUGGUGAAAGACAGCAAUGCGCCGAUGGAGUGCCUCGCGGCCUAUCAGCUAGUUGGUGAGGUAACGGCNCACCAAGGCGACGACGGGUAGCUGGUCUGAGAGGAUGGCCAGCCACAUUGGGACUGAGACACGGCCCAGACUCCUACGGGAGGCAGCAGUGGGGAAUAUUGCGCAAUGGACGAAAGUCUGACGCAGCGACGCCGCGUGUGGGAUGACGGUCUU
rnacentral:rRNA from 1 species